UUACGACCACAUCACGUUGCAAAAUCGGUUCCCGUAUGAUCGCCGGAGUUAAGCAACGUCGAGCCUCGACAGUUCCUAGAUGGCUGACUCCUUGGGAAUAGCAAGUGCUGUAAG